rnacentral:rRNA from 1 species
CAGCCGCGGUAAUCCAGCUCCAAUAGCGUAUAUUAAAGUUGUUGCAGUUAAAAAGCUCGUAGUUGAAUUUUGGAUUCUUCCAAUUGGUCCAUCUUUUAGAUGAGUACUGGUUGUGUGGGGUCUAUCCGCCUGGUGAUACGUAAUGUCCUUUAUUGGAUGUUUCGGGUAGUCAGGACCUUUACCUUGAAAAAAUUAGAGUGUUUAAAGCAGGCUUAUGCCGGAAUACAUUAGCAUGGAAUAAUAGAAUAGGACGAAGUUGUUUUAUUUUGUUGGUUUCUAGGACAACCGUAAUGAUUAAUAGGGAUAGUUGGGGGCAUUAGUAUUCAAUUGUCAGAGGUGAAAUUCUUGGAUUUAUUGAAGACUAACUACUGCGAAAGCAUUUGCCAAGGAUGUUUUCAUUAAUCAAGAACGAAAGUUAGGGGAUCGAAGACGAUCAGAUACCGUCGUAGUCUUAACCAUAAACUAUGCCGACUAGGGAUCGGGCGAUGUUGUUUCCAUGACUCGCUCGGCACCUUAUG